rnacentral:rRNA from 1 species
UUAAGUUAGAAAGGGCGCACGGUGAAUGCCUUGGCACUAGGAGCCGAUGAAGGACGGGACUAACACCGAUAUGCUUCGGGGAGCUGUAAGUAAGCUUUGAUCCGGAGAUUUCCGAAUGGGGGAACCCACUGUUCGUAAUGGAACAGUAUCUUUACCUGAAUACAUAGGGUAUGGAAGGCAUACCCGGGGAACUGAAACAUCUAAGUACCCGGAGGAAGAGAAAGCAAACGCGAUUCCCUGAGUAGCGGCGAGCGAAACGGGACAUAGCCCAAACCAAGAGGCUUGCCUCUUGGGGUUGUAGGACACUCAACAUGGAGUUACAAAGGAACGGGGUAGAUGAAGCGACCUGGAAAGGUCCGUCAUAGAAGGUAAAAACCCUGUAGUCGAAACUUCGUUCCCUCCUGAGUGGAUCCUGAGUACGGCCGGACACGAGAAAUCCGGUCGGAAGCAGGGAGGACCAUCUCCCAAGGCUAAAUACUCCCUAGUGACCGAUAGUGAACCAGUACCGUGAGGGAAAGGUGAAAAGCACCCCGGAAGGGGAGUGAAAUAGUUCCUGAAACCGUGUGCCUACAAGUAGUUAGAGCCCGUUAAUGGGUAAUAGCGUGCCUUUUGUAGAAUGAACCGGCGAGUUACGAUCCCAUGCAAGGUUAAGUUGAAAAGACGGAGCCGCAGCGAAAGCGAGUCUGAAUAGGGCGUAUGAGUAUGUGGUCGUAGACCCGAAACCAGGUGAUCUACCCAUGUCCAGGGUGAAGUCCAGGUAACACUGGAUGGAGGCCCGAACCCACGCACGUUGAAAAGUGCGGGGAUGAGGUGUGGGUAGCGGAGAAAUUCCAAUCGAACUUGGAGAUAGCUGGUUCUCUCCGAAAUAGCUUUAGGGCUAGCCUCACGUAGUAAGAGUCUUGGAGGUAGAGCACUGUUUGGACUAGGGGCCCUCAUCGGGUUACCGAAUUCAGACAAACUCCGAAUGCCAAAGACUUAUCCGUGGGAGUCAGACUGCGAGUGAUAAGAUCCGUAGUCAAAAGGGAAACAGCCCAGACCACCAGCUAAGGUCCCAAAGUAUACGUUAAGUGGAAAAGGAUGUGGAGUUGUUUAGACAACCAGGAUGUUGGCUUAGAAGCAGCCACCAUUUAAAGAGUGCGUAAUAGCUCACUGGUCGAGUGACUCUGCGCCGAAAAUGUACCGGGGCUAAACGUAUCACCGAAGCUGUGGAUUGACAUCUUAGAUGUCAGUGGUAGGAGAGCGUUCUAAGGGCGUUGAAGCUAGACCGUAAGGACUGGUGGAGCGCUUAGAAGUGAGAAUGCCGGUAUGAGUAGCGAAAGAUGAGUGAGAAUCUCAUCCACCGAAUGCCUAAGGUUUCCUGAGGAAGGCUCGUCCGCUCAGGGUUAGUCGGGACCUAAGCCGAGGCCGAAAGGCGUAGGCGAUGGACAACAGGUUGAUAUUCCUGUACCACCUCUUUAUCGUUUGAGCAAUGGGGGGACGCAGGAGGAUAGGGUAAGCGCGCUGUUGGAUAUGCGCGUCUAAGCAGUUAGGCUGAGAAGUAGGCAAAUCCGCUUCUCACUAAGGCUGAGCUGUGAUAGCGAGGGAAAUUUAGUACCGAAGUUCCUGAUUCCACACUGCCAAGAAAAGCCUCUAGCGAGAUAAAUGGUGCCCGUACCGCAAACCGACACAGGUAGGCGAGGAGAGAAUCCUAAGGUGAGCGAGAGAACUCUCGUUAAGGAACUCGGCAAAAUGACCCCGUAACUUCGGGAGAAGGGGUGCUUUUUGAGGUGAAUAGCCUCGAAGAGCCGCAGUGAAUAGGCCCAGGCGACUGUUUAGCAAAAACACAGGUCUCUGCGAAGCCGCAAGGCGAAGUAUAGGGGCUGACGCCUGCCCGGUGCUGGAAGGUUAAGAGGAGGGGUUAGCGCAAGCGAAGCUCUGAAUCGAAGCCCCAGUAAACGGCGGCCGUAACUAUAACGGUCCUAAGGUAGCGAAAUUCCUUGUCGGGU